AGUGAACGCUGGCGGUAGGCCUAACACAUGCAAGUCGAACGGCACAACAGUAAGAGCUUGCUCUUACGGGUGGCGAGUGGCGGACGGGUGAGGAAUACAUCGGAAUCUACUUUUUCGUGGGGGAUAACGCAGGGAAACUUACGCUAAUACCGCAUACGACCUACGGGUGAAAGCAUGGGAUCUUCGGACCUUGCGCGAUUGGAUGAGCCGAUGUCGGAUUAGCUAGUUGGCGGGGUAAAGGCCCACCAAGGCGACGAUCCGUAGCUGGUCUGAGAGGAUGAUCAGCCACACUGGAACUGAGACACGGUCCAGACUCCUACGGGAGGCAGCAGUGGGGAAUAUUGGACAAUGGGCGCAAGCCUGAUCCAGCCAUACCGCGUGGGUGAAGAAGGCCUUCGGGUUGUAAAGCCCUUUUGUUGGGAAAGAAAAGCAGCAGGUUAAUACCCCGCUGUUCUGACGGUACCCAAAGAAUAAGCACCGGCUAACUUCGUG
rnacentral:rRNA from 1 species